GCCGCGGUGGCGGAAUAGGCAGACGCAGCAGACUCAAAAUCUGCCGAUGUUAUCAUCGUAAGGGUUCAAGUCCCUUCCGCGGCACCA
rnacentral:tRNA from 1 species